CGGAUUCCCGGGCGGGUCCAGGGGCGAGCAGGUGCCGGGGCCGCUCCGUCCAGCUUCCUCCCCGCGCCCGGUUCCCCUUUCCACCCUCCCAGCGACUUCCACUCCGAAACCCGCCCCAGGCGGCCUCAGGAAAGCAGGCAGCGCUUUACAAUCUGGACUCCAUCUCCGGAAGUCUGCACGGGAGCUGAGACCUCCCGGGGAGCAGGACACCCCCUCCCAUCCCUGCCGUGAGGGCUCUGCCAGGAACGACCCCACUUUUCGGAAGAGGAAUCGGAGGCCACGUGCCCAGAGUCACACGGCUGCUCAGCGACUGAAGCAGACCCCUGGACCCAAGACCUGUCCGAUCGCAGAACACAGCUCUCAACGACUUACUACGCCCAAAUAAUAAUAAUAAUAAUAAUGGGGCACGAAUGUGAUUAUGGGCCAUGUCUCUCCCCUGCUCUGAACCUUCCGUGGCUGUGUGACCUUCUGAGCAAAACCCAUACCGGCAGCCUGACAUUCCAAGCCCUUCCCAGCCGCAUCCCUGUCGACCUCACCUCCUGAAAAUACCCACCAAACGCCCUCCGCUCCAGUUACACCAGACUUCUUUCCGUCCCUUGUUUCAUGUUUCCAGACCCGCGUCCUGUUCUCACUGCCUGGCAUUCUGAUUCCCUUUCCUCCGCUUGGCAAACUCCUAUACAUCCUUCAAAAACACCUGAACUGUGCCCUUUACCUGAGGUCUACUUGGGUUCCCUGGGGGCGUUGCCUCCUCUGUAUCAAGCGUCCAAGGGACAGAGGGCUCGUCCCUAAUGUUGCAAUUACUCAUGCAUUCAUCUGCGUAGCCCCAGACUCUGAGCUCCUGCAGGGUGGGGCUGCAGUUCCGCUCAUCUUUGAACCUGGGCUCACGGUAGGAACCCGGCACACAUUAUAAUGGUGCUCAAGAGGUUGUGUUGACACAAAAUGAAAUGGUGGGUCCUUGGUGAUUGUUGGUGGAUGGUGACUCUAACGCACAGACUCACGAUGGGAGCCUUGGUUCCGGCGCCUCCCCGCUGGUUCGACCUCUCUGCGAAAAUGGGGAUGAGCCCAGUGCCUCCCUCACAAAGCACUUAGCGCGGGACACUCGAUCAGUGACCGGAUUAUUGUCAGCUUCCUUUACGCUGAGGGGCAGGCGCCCGAGCACCGCUCACACUCCCCUCCCGGCUACGUUAAAAGAGGCAUCGAAUGUCAGCUAAGGUAUAAACCCCCCAAAAUUGCAAACAGUGCUCAAA
rnacentral:lncRNA from 1 species